UCGAUCUUAUUUUGUCGGGUUUAUUUUUAAGCCUAACUUCUUGAAUACCGAGAGCUUUUGAGUGAAGUCAAACUUGAUUUCUUACCAAUAGAUGACUAUACUGUUUGGUGGGUCGUCUGUCAGUAUAAAUUCAAUGUUUACCACAUGUGAUGGCAUUCGCGUUACGUUUAAGUCAAGAUCUACUCUACAGUGGGAAAAUUUUUUCGUAGAACAAAUAUCUCCUAGAGCUAUGUGGUGCAAUAUCAUUCCGAUGUGACGUGACACUACUGGUUGGUGGGGUAAGCUAGGGACACAUCUUUUCCAUUUUCCCAUCCAAUCUGUCAAACAACUUUGAUUGUUUGUUAUGACUACAGCAACAUUCCCUAUGUAACCCAACAAUACAAAACUUACCACUGUAAACCCGAAAGACA